rnacentral:rRNA from 1 species
UUGCUAGCAGCCGCGGUAAUACGUAGGCAGCGAGCGUUGUUCGGAGUUACUGGGCGUAAAGAGUGCGUAGGCGGUGCUCUAAGUUUGGUGUGAAAUCUCCCGGCUUAACUGGGAGGGUGCGCCGAAAACUGGAGUGCUUGAGUGUGGGAGAGGUAAGCGGAAUUCCUGGUGUAGCGGUGAAAUGCGUAGAUAUCAGGAGGAACACCUGUGGUGUAGACAGCUUACUGGACCAUGACUGACGCUGAGGCACGAAAGCGUGGGGAGCAAACAGGAUUAGAAACCCGCGUAGUCC